AUGCAGAGCCGGGCGCGUGUGGACAUGCCUGUCUUCGUCUGUCCGCGGUGCCGGGCGGGCGUUGAUCGGAGGGUUUCUCACACACCGAGGAACCAGAAUCGUCCGUUCUGCGUGUGCAGCGAGAAUGGGGUGACAUGCUUCUUUCUUUGGGUCGAUGCUCUGGCCAAGACUCUGAUGAAUGAACUGCAAGAAGAACAUGAAGAAUGGUUGCGCAUGCUGCCACAAACGGCAGUGGCCGCAACACGAGCUCCGGAAGAAGAGAUGGAGGGCGAAGCACGCACUGACGAGAGCUAG
rnacentral:rRNA from 1 species